CCCGAAACCAGGUGAUCUACCCUUGGUCAGGUUGAAGUUCAGGUAACACUGAAUGGAGGACCGAACCGACUUACGUUGAAAAGUGAGCGGAUGAACUGAGGGUAGCGGAGAAAUUCCAAUCGAACCUGGAGAUAGCUGGUUCUCUCCGAAAUAGCUUUAGGGCUAGCCUCAAGUGAUGAUUAUUGGAGGUAGAGCACUGUUUGGACGAGGGGCCCCUCUCGGGUUACCGAAUUCAGACAAACUCCGAAUGCCAAUUAAUUUAACUUGGGAGUCAGAACAUGGGUGAUAAGGUCCGUGUUCGAAAGGGAAACAGCCCAGACCACCAGCUAAGGUCCCAAAAUAUAUGUUAAGUGGAAAAGGAUGUGGCGUUGCCCAGACAACUAGGAUGUUGGCUUAGAAGCAGCCAUCAUUUAAAGAGUGCGUAAUAGCUCACUAGUCGAGUGACACUGCGCCGAAAAUGUACCGGGGCUAAACAUAUUACCGAAGCUGUGGAUUGUCCUUUGGACAAUGGUAGGAGAGCGUUCUAAGGGCGUUGAAGCAUGAUCGUAAGGACAUGUGGAGCGCUUAGAAGUGAGAAUGCCGGUGUGAGUAGCGAAAGACGGGUGAGAAUCCCGUCCACCGAUUGACUAAGGUUUCCAGAGGAAGGCUCGUCCGCUCUGGGUUAGUCGGGUCCUAAGCUGAGGCCGACAGGCGUAGGCGAUGGAUAACAGGUUGAUAUUCCUGUACCACCUAUAAUCGUUUUA
rnacentral:rRNA from 1 species